GUGCUUUCCUGAAGACCAGAUGUGUGAGUGGCACCCUUCUGCAGAAGUAAAUUGGCUUUGCUGAAAAAUCUUUUAUUUCAGUGCUGGUUUUCCUUGAGACUUCGAGCUUUAAUUUCCAACACCACCGUGGGACACUCUUCCCUUCCUCUUCCUCUGUCGGCCCCUGCUCAUUCUUCAGCUCUCAGUUCAGGUGUCCCUUUCUCAAGGAGACCUUGAGAAGGUGCCCAGGCUUAGUCAAAACCCCUCUUAAUCAGGUUAUGAACAGCACAAAGUCCAGUCUUCCCUCAAUUGACACAAUAGUUGCUUUCCUGGAAAAUUCGGUGUCUUAUUAACACUGUGCAAGAAAUCCUUUAAGUUUAUAUGACAAACGAGUUAGGGCUUGGGUUAGGUUAUUAGGAGCAUGGUUGCAGCCACAAUAGGCCCUGGCAGGAGGCAUGGGAGGAGGGUCCUUUCUUUGUGGUGUGAGACUCUCCUUUCUAUUGCAAGGCCACCCAGGACCAGCCCCGGUCCCUAGGACUUACCCCUUUCAUCAUUGUGUCAACUCGAAAUGCACCCCAACUUUCCAGGAAGUCCAAGAAGCUAGAGGCUCACUCUGGACCUCACGAUUGGCAACCAGUAAGGUCUUUCUACCCUGGAAACUGACAACGACUAACCCCAGCUUAAAGAUCUGCAGGCGAUCAGCUCCUCAAGGUCCAGUUCCCUGGCUGGUAUUGGAGUCAUUGAAACUCAUUGUCACCCCCCCUCUUCAUUUUUGUGCCAUCAGGGAAAGCUCUUUGUUCGGCCAGAGGGUCCCUGAUCCCUCUUCUAGAGGACUUGAGGGCAUCCUUUCCCAUAACACUACCUGGCAGCUAGUGUUUACUGAGCACUUACUAUGCCCCUAGACACUCUGCAAAGAGCCUUAGAUACAC
rnacentral:lncRNA from 1 species